rnacentral:misc_RNA from 1 species
CUGUGGACCCGAAUUCGCUUGAAGUAAAGUUUCCUAGUUUAGCUCGCUCGCUUUAUCCGCUUCAGCUAUAGCUUUAGUAAUUAUAACGUUUUUCUGUGUUUGAUUUGGUUGGGGAUGUAUUUUUUUUUAAUCAUUGAAUAAGAAAUAGGAUUUGUUACCUUCUUUGUUGUUGUUCAGGUUUGUUGAUUGUUUGAAGUAGACAAUCUUGGUUUUUAUGAAUUGGGCUCGAUGUCCUCGGUCUAUCUUAAUGAAUUUUUGGCCCAGUUUGAAGUUUUCUCUCAAUCUUUGCUUCGUACUGUGAGUUUCAAUGGAGAAUAUUAUUGGAAGGAAACAUAUUUUUGUGGGAUGUGGUUGGCACGGUUGUUAUAUGGAUUUAGAGUUCUGUUAUAAUAAUUUUUACAGCCUCCAAAUUAAGGGAGCAAAAUUAAGCUUUUCACUAAAUUAAUUUUUGCAGCCUCCGAGUGGUAACAUGCCAGUUAUGAAUUACGAUAUGCUACUAAUGCUGAGACCACCAUGAAACUAAACACUUCGUAUUGACAUAAUUGUCUCUAUGGACGAGUGAAAAGGUUUAAGCAAGAGCUAAUAUGAAAUUUUUGGUUCUGAUUUUUCUGCCAUUUGAUUGUAUAUAACCCCUAGCUAGUCUUGUUUAAGUGGUUUAAAUUUACUUAUAUGCUGUUUAUAGAGUAAAUUAUAAACUAGCAGUCAUCAUCUGUGCUCUAGAUGCUUUCUCAGAGAAUAUUCCGGUCCAGACUUGCAGCUGUGAAUUGUUAGCUAGUUAUUACUUUGUCUCUCUCUCUCUCUCUCUGCUCUUUUGAAAUCAAUAAUAAAAAAAAAAGUUCUGUUUUUCUGUAUGUGCAUGAAAAC